UACGUAGGCAGCGAGCGUUGUUCGGAGUUACUGGGCGUAAAGAGUGCGUAGGCGGUGCUCUAAGUUUGGUGUGAAAUCUCCCGGCUCAACUGGGAGGGUGCGCCGAAAACUGGAGUGCUCGAGUAUGGGAGAGGUAAGCGGAAUUCCUGGUGUAGCGGUAAAAUGCGUAGAUAUCAGGAGGAACACCUGCGGUGUAGACGGCUUACUGGACCAUGACUGACGCUGAGGCACGAAAGCGUGGGGAGCAAACAGG
rnacentral:rRNA from 1 species